rfam:Ictidomys tridecemlineatus contig100884, whole genome shotgun sequence.
UGGGCUGUGGCUUGGCGGUAGAGCACUUGCCUAGCACGCGUGAGGCCCUGGGUUUGAUCCUCAGCACCACAU